CUUUUUUGAUCCCAACCUAUGUACGAAGAAAGAAACACAUACUUAUUGGUGGUCUGCUGAAAGGAAAAGCCAUCUGCUGUUCUGGGAUAAGGGCAAACAAAAGAAGAUCACUCAAAUAAAUUGCAAGCAGCUCUUGCAAGCAACACAGAAAGCUGAAGAGCAACAUGCCUUUGGCAUAAGGACAAAUGGUUUUUAUUUUAUUUUAUUUUAUUGUUAUUAUUUUUAAUAGGACAAGGGGGAAUGGUUUUAAACUGAGACAGGGGAGGUUUAGGUUAGAUAUUAGGAGGCAGUUUUUCACGCAGAGGGUGGUGACGCACUGGAACAGGUUGCCCAAGGAGGCUGUGGAUGCCCCAUCCCUGGAGGCAUUCAAGGCCAGGCUGGAUGUGGCUCUGGGCAGCCUGGUCUGGUGGUUGGCGACCCUGCACAUAGCAGGGGGGUUGAAACUAGAUGAUCAUUGUGGUCCUUUUCAACCCAGGCCAUUCUAUGAUUCUAUGAAA
rnacentral:lncRNA from 1 species